AUGACAUCCGUGCAUGAAGGACAAGGGAGAAGCCAUCACCACCCAGAAUAUGGCUUGGAUAACUGUCUCCUUGUGGCAGCACCUGUUGGCCUUCACAAAUCAGAACUGAGGAUCCAGGAGUGGGACUGAGACUUGUCUUCCUUUGCACCUCAGCAGGAUACCACCUCACCUGGAAAUUCAUCUUUAAGGUACAGUGUAUUCAUCUUGGUGUUGUCAGGUGCGGGAUCAGCUUAUACCUGGUGCUGGGAGUUGACACUCAUUUCUUAUACAUGUGUCUUUGGUGGCCAUUUGGACUCAUUUUUCCCUCCCUUUGAACACCCCACUUUGCACUAGUCUGGGAA
rnacentral:lncRNA from 9 species